rnacentral:rRNA from 1 species
GUAGGGAAUCUUCCGCAAUGGACGAAAGUCUGACGGAGCGACACCGCGUGAGGGAUGAAGGCUCUCGGGUUGUAAACCUCUUUUCUGAGGGAAUACUCUGAAUGUACCUCAGGAAUCAGCAUCGGCUAACUACGUGCCAGCAGCCGCGGUAAUACGUAGGAUGCAAGCGUUAUCCGGAAUCACUGGGCGUAAAGCGUCCGCAGGUGGGAAAGAAAGUCUUUUAUUAAAUCCCGAUGCUCAACAUCGGAAUCGUAGGAGAAACUACUUUUCUAGAGGAUGGGAGAGGCAAGUGGAAUUCUCGGUGUAGGGGUAAAAUCCGUAGAUAUCGAGAGGAACACCAAAAGCGAAGGCAGCUUGCUGGAACAUUCCUGACACUCAUGGACGAAAGCGUGGGGAGCGAAAAGGAUUAGAUACCCCUGUAGUCC